rnacentral:tRNA from 1 species
GGGUGUAGCUCAGUGGCAGAGUGCUUGCUUAGUAUGCCCCAGGCCCUGGGUUCAACUCCCAGCAUCACA